CUUCAUUGUUGCUUUACUGUUUACUGGAAAUAUGCCAUUUUUGUCUUAGGUUCAUGCUACUGGAGACAAAAUUCCAGAAAGGUCCAUGCAGUGGAAAGGACUGCAUUUAGACAGUGGCAGCAAACCAGGAGUCGCAGAGAUGCUGUAAGCUCUAUUCAAAGCUUAAAAAACCAAAUCGAGGAGCUGAUGGAAGCCUCUCAUGGCCUGGAAAACGUUUCCAGACAAAUUCAAGAAAUUGUGACAAACACGGAGGGAGCAGCACAGAGAGUGAAUGUUAUGACAGUAUUAAAGGAGACUUUCAUGUGCUUAAUUUGCUGAGCAAUCAUGGAACAACCAGUCUUCACGACAUGCUGCAGGACUGUGGUGGGGUGCAAGAUUUGUUUGGAACAGUGGAGGGAAAAUUCGACCCAGUGCCCAAAAUGUAGAGCGGA
rnacentral:lncRNA from 1 species